GGAUUUACUCAUUGGUCAAGCUUAAUUGUCUGUAUUGGUGAGAUGAAUCUCUACCUUCUGAGGAACUUUCAUGCCAUUUAUUUGGUGUGAUUGGAAAUCAGGACUGUUACUUUGAAAAAAUUAGAAUGUUUAAAGCAGGCUAACGUCUGAAUACAUUAGCAUGGAAUAAUGAAAUAGGACGGACUGAUUCUAUUUCGUUGGUUUCUAGGAUCACCGUA
rnacentral:rRNA from 1 species